rnacentral:rRNA from 1 species
AACGAACGCUGGCGGCAGGCUUAACACAUGCAAGUCGAGCGCCCCACAAGGGGAGCGGCAGACGGGUGAGUAACGCGUGGGAACGUACCUUUUGGUUCGGAACAACUCCGGGAAACUGGAGCUAAUACCGGAUAAGCCCUAACGGGGAAAGAUUUAUCGCCGAAAGAUCGGCCCGCGUCUGAUUAGCUAGUUGGUGAGGUAACGGCUCACCAAGGCGACGAUCAGUAGCUGGUCUGAGAGGAUGAUCAGCCACACUGGGACUGAGACACGGCCCAGACUCCUACGGGAGGCAGCAGUGGGGAAUAUUGGACAAUGGGCGCAAGCCUGAUCCAGCCAUGCCGCGUGAGUGAUGAAGGCCUUAGGGUUGUAAAGCUCUUUUGUCCGGGAAGAUAAUGACUGUACCGGAAGAAUAAGCCCCGGCCAACUUCGUG